GUCGGGAUUUUCUAGCUGUGUUGAGGACCCAGUGAUGGCCUUUGGCUGUGUUCUGCCUUUUGGUCUGGAUUUUACACAUUCCUCAUUUCCAUUCGCAAUUUUAUUUUACAAGACAUGGUUUAUUCGAUUUAUUUCUGGUUUAUUUCGAUUGUUUUUUCAUAAAUGCUUCGGUUUUUUUUUCGUAUAAAUUGUCUAACAUUUUGUUGAAGGCCGUACGGUGACCAUGAUGGUCAGUUAAUUGGAAUGUAGUGGUCAAUUCGU
rnacentral:lncRNA from 1 species